GAACAAGAAAACAUGCACGUCAAAAGGGGUCUUGACGCUGUGAUCCACCCCCAGCCUCAGCCCAGAUCCCAGCAUACAUGUAUCUGGCAUGCAUUGAGAGGCCCCCAAGCAUGAACCUAGGAUCUUCCCGUCAUGCACCAGGAAAAGGCGACUUGAGGACGCAGUGAGAAGCUGGCCAGCCGCCCCAUCCUGGUAAGAGAGCACUCAUCAGAAGCCAAACCCAUCUGGACUUUGACCUUGGACUUCCAUUCUUUGUAAUUAAAACAUCCCCUUUGGAUUUUCUCCCUGUUGCUACAGUCUAAAUAAAGUACUCAUCACUUUCAGUCUCUGACAACUUUUGAAAGUUAUACAUCCUGUA